GCCUAGUUAGCUUGGAGGGUAGUGCGUCUGCCUUGUAAGCGCUAGACCGCGGGUUCGAUUCCCGUCCGGGGCA
rnacentral:tRNA from 1 species